rnacentral:lncRNA from 1 species
GCCUCCAGAGCAGCUGGGACUACAGGCGCCCGCCGCCUCGCCCCGGCUAAUUUUUUUGUUUUUUGUUUGGUAUUUUUAGUAGAGGCGGGGUUUCACUGUGUUAGCCAGGCUGGUCUCAAUCUCCUGACCUCGUGAUCUGCCCGCCUCGGCCUCCCAAAGUGCUGGGAUUACAGGCGUGAGCCACCGAGCCCGGCUGGUUGCCUUCUUAAGACUGGACGGUGGUGGAUCAGAUGUUGUUCUUGAAGGAAAGAAAUGUCUCUGAAGAGCAGAGGUAUUCAGACAGAAAUGAUGGCCUAUGGUCAGGAAUGGAUUAUCUCACUUCUCUGAUAAAUCUUUCCUCCAGCAAAGGGAAUUUGCCAGCUCUGUAGGACAGAAAAUAGCCUGCAAAUCAAUGGAAGAAACCUCUCCUCAUAGUCAGAUACUUUGGAAUCGUCGGCCAGUCCUCCGAAGGCACUGAAAAGCAUCCCUCCUCAGGAAGAUGUGAAACCAAACAUCAUGUCUCCUAGAUGGUAUUAAGGAACUGAAACGUACCAGAUCUCCAUAUCUGGACAAUGAAAUGCCAGACCCCUCACCUGUCCUGAUUGCCUAACUGAUCACCUGCUGUCAGUUGACCAAGUUCUCUUCCUCAUCCUUCCCUAAUUCCUGUAUACCCACACAUAAUUACACCUCUUCCCUGCUAUAUAAACCCUUAAUUUUAGUCCAUUAAGGAGAUGAAUUUGAGACUGAUCUGCAGCACCCAAAUAAAGCCUUCUUCCCCAGCAAUCAUUGUCUCAUUGAUUGAUUUUCUGAGAGGAGAGCAACAGGACUUAGAUCAAACCCCCAGUGUUUUGAUAACAAAUAUACAAUACUGUUAGUUGGCAGUAAUAAUAAACUGUAAGUUGAAAACACCAAGAAAAUCAGCAUGCAUGAUAAUCAGCAUUAUUAUUUAACCAUUCAUAAAUUUUUUUUUGCAGAGUUUUGAUUUUCUUAGAUUCCUAUAAGCAUUAGAGCAAUUAGGUCAUCUCUUUUAAACUAUUUUCUUCUCGUAAGUACAGAUUUACACAAUGACCAAGAAUGUUUGGCAGGGUCUACACUUUUGACUAUAUUAAUAAGUAGGUAUCUUAAUGUGUCACAAAUGUCAGUUAAGAGUAGACUAUUCAUGAGGUCUUUCCUCUUUAGUACUUCCAUUGAUUGCUUCUUUUUGCAGUGUUUUUACAAUAAUUUCUAAACAAACAAUCGAAUGUGCUGUGAAAAUUUCCCAUUUUCAAUUGUAGGACAU